GACGUAGGAUGCAAGCGUUGUCCGGAUUUAUUGGGCGUAAAGAGUUCGUAGGUGGUUCGUUAAGUCUGAUGUUAAAGACUGGGGCUCAACCCUGGAAGUGCAUUGGAUACUGGCGGACUUGAGUGUGGUAGAGGCAAUCGGAAUUCCGAGUGUAGCGGUGAAAUGCGUAGAUAUUCGGAGGAACACCAGUGGCGAAAGCGACUUUCUGGGACGUUCCUGACGCUGAGGUUCGAAAGCUCGGGGAGCAAACAGG
rnacentral:rRNA from 1 species